AUAAUUGGAGGAUUUGAGAUAUUUCAUUUCUUUUCUGCAUAACACUUGAACUCAACUCUCCUUGGAUCUUACUGCACAAAGCAUCUGGUGUCUGAUGUUUUGUUGUCAGCAUUCCUGAAUAUUUGAGGUGACAUGAAUCUUUGCAGCAUCCCUGCAGCAACCCACAUUCUUGCACAACCCUUUCUCGAAUAUGAACAUAAAGAUAUUGCUUGCAUAUUUGAGCACAUGGUUUUGCUACCAUGCCUCAUGAAACCCAGAUUUCAGUAUGCUUAGAACAAAGAUACUGUAUUCUUGGCUGUUUUCACUGCAGACCAGAGGUGAAGGCUCCACUGAAGCUCACAGGGGCAAAGUUGCACCAUCUGCAAUGGAAAACAAAGAAGUAAGAUGCAAAUGAAGUUAAGUUAGGCUGCAAAGAGCAAUGGAAAAAAUGAUUAGAGCAUUAAGAUGGGAAAAUUGUAUUUAACACCUAACCAGACAAUUAUAGCUUUGUUUACUCUGACUGGCGGCUUCUUUAAAGAUGCAAAAAAAGGGGGGAAUUUGGUAUUUUGCGGUUUCUGUGUUUUUACUUGUUCAAACAUCUGACAGAAAAUCAUUAACAUGUUCCUUUGUGAUAAAUCUUUGGUUUGAUUUUCUGUUUUUUCAAGCUCAGGAAUGUCUGUCUUGCUAAUGCACGUCAAAAAAGAAGGGAGAGGUGGGGACUAGACAGUACACGAGAAGCAGACAGGCGUAGACACAACUUGUCGUGGGAGUGACUGUUUUUCCACAUGAGUGCUGCAGACAUUCAGGGCACCCUGAGCCCUGCCCAGAAGGAAAUGAAUGGCACUGAAUAUUUCUCCUUCCAAAUUUGGUUUUUUACCUGGUUUCCUGCGUCAUGUCUGUUCAGCGCUGUUCUGCAGAUAAUGAUCAAUAAUUAGGCCUCAACAGUUCUUCACGUGUGUUUGCUUUGUGACUAAUAAAGACAAUUGUUCUCCACUUAGAGUUCACUUCUCUUUACAAAGGGAAAUGUUUCACUUUUAUGUUUUGUUUUGUUUGUCAGAAUAAUGAGGUUGAAAUAACCUUUUGUUUCCACUUCUUUAUUUUUUUGCUGAAAGACAUGACUUUGUUUUUCUUGACAGGAACAGAUAUGCAGUAAUUACUCUGAGCCAUUGUGCACCAUAGGGGCUUAAAAUACCAAAGUUCGGGGAAAGAGUCCAUUUAAGACACGUUUAAAAGGAAAGUGCCUUAAAGAGAACCUAUCCCCAAGGUGUCUUAUGCCCAAAGCUUUUUUUUUUUUCUUUAAUGCUGGAUUGGAAAAGAAAAAAAAACAUAUUCAACAUUACUUUGAAAAAAAUAAUCCAUUAUUGCUUCUGAGAAAUCCUAAGUGUACC